rnacentral:rRNA from 1 species
UCCGCAGGCGGGUUGGUUAGUGAAAGGUGAAAUCCCUCGGCUCAACCGUGGAACUGCCUUUCAAACUGCCAAUCUAGAGGAUGGAAGAGGAGAGCGGAACUGCCGGUGUAAGGGUGAAAUCUGUGGAUAUCGGCAGGAACGCCUGUGGUGAAGACGGCUCUCUGGUCCAUACCUGACGCUCAGGGACGAAAGCUAGGGGAGCAAACA